rnacentral:tRNA from 1 species
UGACCCGCCGCAGGCGUGGUUGGUUAGAGCAAUCGACUCAUAAUCGAUUGGUCGGGGGUUCAAGUCCCUCCGGGCCCACCA